rnacentral:rRNA from 1 species
UACGACUACAUAUCAGGCAUAUCAAUAAGCGGAGGAAAAGAAACUAACUAGGAUUCCCUCAGUAACGGCGAGUGAAGCGGGAAGAGCUCAAAUUUGAAAUCUUCAAGGUUCUACCUUGACGAAUUGUAGUUUAAAGAAGUGUUUUCUGUUGAAGUUUUGGUAAAAGUUCUUUGGAAUAGGACAUCAUAGAGGGUGAGAAUCCCGUAUUUGACCAUUAUUUUCAGCUGUGUGAUACACUUUCAAAGAGUCGGAUUGUUUGGGAAUGCAGUCCAAAAUGGGUGGUAAAUUUCAUCUAAAGCUAAAUAUUGGCGAGAGACCGAUAGCGAACAAGUACCGUGAGGGAAAGAUGAAAAGAACUUUGAAAAGAGAGUUAAACAGUACGUGAAAUUGUCAAAAGGGAAGCGUUUGACACCAGUGUUGUUUUCUCGAAAAUCAAUUAAAAAAAGUUGGAUUUUGUGUUGUAUUGACCUUAACAGCUUGCUUCACUCUUUUCCAGCUUUUUUUAAUGCACUUUUCGUUUAACAAGUCAACAUCAGUUUCUUUUGUUGUAAAAGGGUCAUUGGAAGGUGGCUUUCUCUUCGGAGAAAGUGUUUAUAGCCUUUGAUCUCUGCAAUCGGAGAGACUGAGGUCUGCAGCGUAGAUCCUUCGGGGUUAGAUACAUUUGUGCUAAGCUAUCAGCCUUUCAUAGACAACUUGUUGACUAUGAUUAGUCAUUGUAGACUUACCUCGCUUAGUGCUAUUUUACCUACGCUUAGGAUGUUGAGCGCAUGUCUCUCUCU